GCGAGGUCCCGCGAGCCUCCCUCAGCGACCGAUACCUCGUGAGAGACGCCCGCUGAUUCGACCCGAGGGGGAAAAGAACUGGACGAUUGUGGCGAGUGGAGGUGCUCACACACGCCAAGUCAAUGGCAUCCUCGGUCUUCUGUGCAAGGAGCACUUCCCUGGCCUGGUUGAGUACGCCGGAGUGACGGGGCCGGCCUACUCGUUUGACCACUACGCCGCCGCCCCUGAUGCUGCAGAUCGGGCCCACAGGGUAUUCAACAACAAGGCGGAGCGGGUGAAGCAAGAGCUGUGGGAUUUCUUUAGAUGCCAGGACGGACAUGAGGCCAGGGCGGAUGCGGUGGCUACCAAAUGCUGCAAAAAAACUCGUCGUGGACAUGCAUUACGAAGCGCGCAUCCAGGCCAUCGUAACUUACCACGGGACCGUCGUUGGAACGAAGGUCACCAAAAGGGACGCAAGAACCAUGACGCUGACCCGGGACCAGUACCUGCAGAUGAUUCCUUAUUGGUGCGCCGCGCAUCCCUAGUGCUGGGAACAGAUGGUGGACAAGUGGUGCUCACGUGAGUGGGAGGAGACGCACAACUUGUGCCGG